GGCCCCAUCGUCUAGCGGCCCAGGACGUCAGGUUUUCAUCCUGAAGAUCGAGGGUUCGAAUCCCUCUGGGGUCA
rnacentral:tRNA from 1 species